rnacentral:rRNA from 1 species
UACGUAGGGGGCUAGCGUUGUCCGGAUUUAUUGGGCGUAAAGAGCGUGUAGGCGGCCAGGUAGGUCUGCUGUGAAAACUCGAGGCUCAACCUCGAGACGUCGGCGGAAACCAUCUGGCUAGAGUCCGGAAGAGGAGAGUGGAAUUCCUGGUGUAGCGGUGAAAUGCGCAGAUAUCGGGAGGAACACCAAAGGCGAAGGCAGCUCGCUGGGACGGUACGUGACGCUGA